AAAGACGGUCUUGCUGUCACUUAUAGAUGGAUCCGCGCUGCAUUAGCUAGUUGGUAAGGUAACGGCUUACCAAGGCAACGAUGCAUAGCCGACCUGAGAGGGUGAUCGGCCACACUGGAACUGAGACACGGUCCAGACUCCUACGGGAGGCAGCAGUAGGGAAUCUUCCGCAAUGGGCGAAAGCCUGACGGAGCAACGCCGCGUGAGUGAUGAAGGUCUUCGGAUCGUAAAACUCUGUUAUUAGGGAAGAACAUAUGUGUAAGUAACUGUGCACAUCUUGACGGUACCUAAUCAGAAAGCCACGGCUAACUACGUGCCAGCAGCCGCGGUAAUACGUAGGUGGCAAGCGUUAUCCGGAAUUAUUGGGCGUAAAGCGCGCGUAGGCGGUUUUUUAAGUCUGAUGUGAAAGCCCACGGCUCAACCGUGGAGGGUCAUUGGAAACUGGAAAACUUGAGUGCAGAAGAGGAAAGUGGAAUUCCAUGUGUAGCGGUGAAAUGCGCAGAGAUAUGGAGGAACACCAGUGGCGAAGGCGACUUUCUGGUCUGUAACUGACGCUGAUGUGCGAAAGCGUGGGGAUCAAACAGGAUUAGAUACCCUGGUAGUCCACGCCGUAAACGAUGAGUGCUAAGUGUUAGGGGGUUUCCGCCCCUUAGUGCUGCAGCUAACGCAUUAAGCACUCCGCCUGGGGAGUACGACCGCAAGGUUGAAACUCAAAGGAAUUGACGGGGACCCGCACAAGCGGGGGAGCAUGUGGUUUAAUUCGAAGCAACGCGAAGAACCUUACCAAAUCUUGACAUCCUUUGACAACUCUAGAGAUAGAGCUUUCCCCUUCGGGGGACAAAGUGACAGGUGGUGCAUGGUUGUCGUCAGCUCGUGUCGUGAGAUGUUGGGUUAAGUCCCGCAACGAGCGCAACCCUUAAGCUUAGUUGCCAUCAUUAAGUUGGGCACUCUAAGUUGACUGCCGGUGACAAACCGGAGGAAGGUGGGGAUGACGUCAAAUCAUCAUGCCCCUUAUGAUUUGGGCUACACACGUGCUACAAUGGACAAUACAAAGGGCAGCGAAACCGUGAGGUCAAGCAAAUCCCAUAAAGUUGUUCUCAGUUCGGAUUGUAGUCUGCAACUCGACUACAUGAAGCUGGAAUCGCUAGUAAUCGUAGAUCAGCAUGCUACGGUGAAUACGUUCCCGGGUCUUGUACACACCGCCCGUCACACCACGAGAGUUUGUAACACCCGAAGCCGGUGGAGUAACCUUUUAGGAGCUAGCCGUCGAAGGUGGGACAAAUGAUUGGGGUGAAGUCGUAACAAGGUAGCCGUAUCGGAAGGUGCGGCUG
rnacentral:rRNA from 1 species